AUUGCAAAUAACAUGCAAUAAAGAGUAUGAAAACAUCACAUUCAGAUAUAUUCUUUUAUAUUUUAGAAAGGAAAAAAGGAAACUACAAUCUUCUACAAAUGAAUCAAAUAUGACUGUUAUGAGUCAGUAUGAGUACGCACAGAAUGCAACACAAUAAUAUGCAAAGAGUAACCCGGAUGCCACAUGAAAUCGACAGUUCAGGAGGCAAAACAGUUGGCCAUGCCACGUGGAAGACAAAGGGUAUUUUAUAUGCAAUCUUAUAUGCACAUAAUGCAGAAUGAAAAGUUAUUUUCUAUGGAAAAUUUAAACCGAAACCUACAAUAUUACAGUGAUGAACUUCCUUCAUUGCUGAAUGGUGUGUUGGUGAAUUUUGAUAGUGUUUGAAAGCGUGUUUAGCAUUAGCCUGUGUGGCUAGGUCUCGUGGGCAAGGCGAAUGUUUGUGUUUUGGUUUUAAAAACCUGAUGUCAUCAUCAUAUUGUGGAGGACAGUGAUGGAACAAAAAGAUCAGUGUUACUAUUUGGUUAAUGUCAUUGUAAGUUUCUGGUCAAGUCCUUUGCCUAAUCAAAUAUGUUUUAGAUGGGAUGGAGGACAGGCACAUCCAACAGAUCAGAGCACAGUGCAAUCAGAUAAAUAUCGAAUCAGUAGGGGCUUCUGGAUUGUUUAGCAUGAAUUUUGGAUUGCUAAGGUCAUGCUUAGGAAAUGUUUAGUAAUUGGAAUAAUUCUUGAGUCUAAAAAUAUUUAGCUAUAUCCUCUGGUUCGCCUUUUUUAAACUUUCAUUUUUUUUCUUUUCAGGUCCCAGUCCAAUGUGAAGACACUAUUUCAGUUCAGUGUCAGGAUGACCAAUUCGGGUUGGAUGCUGAAGUGGUUUAUGAUGAAAAAUUCUUUCCCUUACGAAGGUGCAAUCCAUUUGUGACUGGGUCAUAUCACAGGGGACGAGUUCCUGGGCAGAAUCAGGAUACUGGCGUGUCUCCAGGAUUCAUAGCACCUGAUGGCAUGGGCGGCAAUGGCCAAGAGCUGAUGAACAGAGAUGAACGCUAUAAAAAAGAGAAGCGUGUGCAUCCAAAGGGAAAGAAGAAAAAGGUUAAGAGAGGCGAGAACACAGCUUCACCAUUAAAGAGGAAAAUCAUCCAGUCAGCAUCUGACAGUAACGAAAUGUGAUUUGAUUAAUAAGAUAAAUAACACCUAUUUUCUUGUUUAAAGUGAUAGUUCACCCAAAAAUUCUUUCAUUAAUUACUCACCCUCAUGUUGUUUCAAACCCGUAAGACCUUUGUUCACCUUUGGGACACAAACUAAGUUAUUUUUGAUGAAAUGCGAGAGCUGUCUGACCCUGAAUAGACAGCAACGGAACUAUCACGUUCAAGCCCAGAAAGGUAGUAAGAACAAUCAUUAAAAUAGUCCAUGCGGCAUCAGUGAUGGACAGCGUUGCUGUCUAUGCAGGGUCAGAAAGCUCUCGGAUUUUAUCGAUAGCUUAGUUUGUGUUCUGAAGAUGAAUGAAGGUCUUACAGGUUUGGAACGACACAAGGGUAAUUAAUUACAGAAUUUUCAUUUUUGGGUGAACUGUCCCUUUAACGUAGCAUACACACUGCUUUUCUAUAAGCUUAAGCAGCACUUAAAAGCUUUAUAAACUUUGAAUCUAUAACUCUAACUUUCUGUACUCUUUAAAUAAAUUCUUUCAAAAGGACA
ensembl:lncRNA